CAAUAGCGUAUAUUUAAGUUGUUGCAGUUAAAAAGCUCGUAGUUGGAUUUCGGGUGGGACGCAGCGGUCUCGCAUUGCGUUUGUACUGCUGCAGCCCCCCUUCUUGCCGGGGGCGGCCUCUCGGACUUCACUGUCUGGGGGUCAGAAUCGGCGAUGUUACUUUGAGUAAAUUAGAGUGUUCAAAGCAAGCUUACGCUCUGAAUAUAAUAGCAUGGGAUAACACGACAGGACUCUGGCCUAUCGUGUUGGUCUAUAGGACCAGAGUAAUGAUUAAGAGGGACAGUCGGGGGCAUUCGUAUUCCGUUGUCAGAGGUGAAAUUCUUGGAUUUACGGAAGACGAACAUCUGCGAAAGCAUUUGCCAAGGAUGUUUUCAUUGA
rnacentral:rRNA from 1 species